rnacentral:rRNA from 1 species
GGACGCUGGGAUCCCUUCGGGGUGAACUUGUCGCUGUCGAGUGGCGGACGGGUGAGUAAUGCGUAGGAAUUUGCCUCAAAGUGGGGGAUAGCCCGGAGAAAUCCGGAUUAAUACCGCAUGUGCUCUACGGACAAAAGGUGGCCUCUGAAUGAAAGCUAUCACUUUAUGAUGAACCUACGUCAGAUUAGCUAGUUGGUAGGGUAAAGGCCUACCAAGGCAACGAUCUGUAGCUGGUCUGAGAGGAUGAUCAGCCACACUGGGACUGAGACACGGCCCAGACUCCUACGGGAGGCAGCAGUGGGGAAUAUUGGACAAUGGGGGAAACCCUGAUCCAGCGAUGCCGCGUGUGUGAAGAAGGCCUGAGGGUUGUAAAGCACUUUAGUUAGGGAGGAUAAGGCUAAUGUGAAUAAUGUUAGCUGUAGACGUUACCUAAAGAAUAAGCACCGGCAAACUCUGUGCCAGCAGCCGCGGUAAUACAGAGGGUGCAAGCGUUAAUCGGAGUUACUGGGCGUAAAGAGCACGUAGGUGGUUAAUUAAGUCAGUUGUGAAAGCCCUGGGCUUAACCUGGGAACUGCAAUUGAUACUGGCUAACUAGAGUCGAAGAGAGGGAAGCGGAAUUUCCGGUGUAGCGGUGAAAUGCGUAGAUAUCGGAAGGAACAUCAGUGGCGAA